rnacentral:lncRNA from 1 species
GCACAUACACAGACACCACACACACAGACACACCAUUUUAAAGUUACUAAGGACACCAGUAGGGAGGCAGACACAGAUGGAUCUCAAAUUUGAGGCUAUCCUGGUCUACACAGUGAGUUCCUGGAUAGCCAGAGCUACACAGUGAUACCCUGUUAAUACGGAGUAAUAUGAGUUACAAGAAUAAGCCACGGAGAAUACAGUAUGUAACAAGAAAUAGAGGGCAGGGUGGUGACGACAAAAGAAAAUGUCAAUUAAAAAUGUGAGGUAUUUCUGGGUAUGGUGACACAUGUCUUUAGUUCCAGCACUCAGGAGGCAGAGGCAGAAAGAUCAAGAGUUCAAGGCUAGCCUGGUCUACAGAGUUGAGUUCCAGGACAGCAGCCAGGGCUACACAGGGAAACCCUUUGAGUGUUGCUCUUUUAACUUCAUUAUGAUACGUAGGUUAUGUUUUUUUGCUGGCCAUUAGCAAUCUGAACAUCUGCUCUCGGUACUUGCUCAUUAUCAGUUCCAAGGCAGACUGGUGCUCUUCCAAGGAUGUUCGCAGUUCUUUGUUCUCCUGUUGCAAUUCUCUGAUCUGUCUGUUUUCUUGCUGGAUUCCCAUAACUAGCGUGGACAUCGGCCGGCGUCUUGCCACACUUCAUUGAGUUCUUGGAUUUCUUCCUGAUACUGCUUCAUCGCUUCCACUCGCUUGCUGAGGGCUGUGGUCUGCUCGAUGAGAGACUCUGCUUCAUCAUCAUGGUCCCUCAGCCUCUCCACAAGGGCUUUGGCGUUAGCAAGUGCCUUCUCAAUCGUGCAGCUCAUUUCUCAGUUCCCGGCGCCCGCGCUCGCUCAUCUUCCGUCCCUCUCAGCCGCCGGCUGAGGGCCCGCGAGACACCGGGCGCCCACGGCCGACCCCGCGCCCCGGCCGUACCUGCUGUUCAGCGGGCCGACGCCCAGCGCCGCACACACCGCCGCGGCUGCGCACUCCGGCAGCCCGCGCGCCUCGGACCCAUUCCAGGCCGGCCCGGAACUCCGCUCCCCUGUUUACAAGAUAUUUAUAGAAUGCCUCUUGUAUGUGGGUCUUGGAGUAGGAGCAAAUGUCAAGUAAAAG